CUAUCUAUUUAUCUAUCUAUCUAUCUAUUUAUCUAUCUAUUUAUCUGUCCUCAUUCUUUCCUUUUUGCCAACUCCCAGAGGAAUGAACAUGAAAAUUAUAACGCUUUCUCUUUCUCCCUCUCUCUCUCUCUCUAUUUCUCUUGUUGCGAAAAUUUGCCGAAUUGCCAAGAUAUGUUAGAGGAUUGAAGUUGUUACAAAGUCAAUGGUACUUCCAGUUCUCUGCUAACAUUUUUAAGAUCGAUUGACUCAUUUCGGUUUAGUCUACAUUCUAUCUUCAUACCGAUCGUUCGGUCACAGUGAUUUUAACAUUAUUUUCGAAAUGCUCCAAGAGACGUGUUAUAAAUCGUUCGAAAAGAAUACCAAUCGAAUAUCGCGAAUUAUCAAGGAAAGCCAUUGGAAAAAAGGAAAUGCACCAAUAUUGAGACUUUUGAAAUAUUCUUUUCCUUUUCUUUUUUGAAAAAAAAAAGAAAAAUAUUUAUGAGAUGGACAAACACAUUCGAUUUGCAUAAUAUUUAAUAUCCGCGAUUGUCUAUAUCAAAUGUGGGCAACUUUUCCGCAGCGAGCUACACAGUCCUAAUCAUCAAUCAAUCUGUUUCCCUACCACUUAAGUCUAUUAGUUAUCACUUCGACCGAAUAUCCAUAAGUAGACAGAAAUAGAAGCUGCACAACUUACUAGCUACAGCGAGGUCAAAUAGUAGAGAACGUCUUUUUCCACCUUACCGGAGCAGGCAAGAAAAGACGUAGCUCACGUGCUACCAGUUGUUUUCGUUAGAUCUAUAUAAGAGAAAAUUAAAAUUAAUUUUUAACGAUAAACAACACAUAAUUGCCAAUUAGUUGCUUUAAAUACAAUAAAAUCGAUUGUUGUAAUUUAAAGAAAAGUCUUUUCGACGAAUUUUAUGGAAUAGGACGAGAAUCUUUUUAACGUUUAAGAUCUGGUUUAAAAAGUAAGAAUUGCGAUUAAUUACGACGUUGAAAAAAACAAGAUGGAGAGACCAUAAAAAAAAAGAAACAAGAAUAAAAGCUCUUUGAGUAUUUUACAUUGCAACCUUCGUAAACUGAUAAACUGCUUAUAAAAAGGACAUAAAUGAAUAUUUAACGCAACGUAACGUUGUGCCACUUAUUUUCGUAGAUUUAUAGUCUGAUAUAAAAACGCCAGAUUUCAACAUUGAUUUCUUCAGAAAAA